rnacentral:tRNA from 1 species
GGAACUGUGCCCGAGAGCCAGGGACUACUUUGAUAGAGUAAUAAACGUGGGUUAAACCCCCUCCAGCUCCU